CCUGUCAAAAACACCACAGGGACAUCAGAGAGUGAGUUAAUGUCAGUUAGCUUCGACAGUAGCUAACAUGCUCGGGUCAAAGUCGGCUAGCUCGCUGUUUGCUAGCUUACUUCAGGGAAAUGCUAGUUUUAUUUUUAGUUGUAAGCGCAAUGGCGGCGGCGGAACGCGUUGUAUCAAACUCUGAGGGAGAAAUUUACAGGGUUUAUUUAAUUAAUUAUUAUAAAAGUCUACAGAACUAGAACCAAACAACAACAACAACAACAACAACAUCAUCUCACCUGAGAAAAGAACCGCGCGUUUUGGGAUUUGACGCGUCACCGCAGGAAACAACACGGAUCCGUCUAUCCGUGAACUCCUCGAGCUCGAGAGCUGAAGAGAAGAGAAGUUCAACCACAGCUUUUAAAAGAAACUUCCCAGUGAAGAAGGAAGGAGUGGCCUGUCCUCAGUUAAACUCAUGGAGGCCAGGUGGAGAGCAGGACACAGAGGAGAGAGGAGCUCGGUCCGUCACAGAGAAGAUGGAGAGAGAGAACCUGCUCCGGGCUCAGGCAACGAGCAGUCCGGU